rnacentral:rRNA from 1 species
UACGAAGGGGGCGAGCGUUGUUCGGAAUCACUGGGCGUAAAGGGCGCGUAGGCGGCCCUCCUUGUCGCGUGUGAAAGCCCCGGGCUCAACCUGGGAACGGCGCGCGAGACGGGGGGGGCUGGAGUUCGGGAGAGGAGCGUGGAAUUCCCAGUGUAGAGGUGAAAUUCGUAGAUAUUGGGAAGAACACCGGUGGCGAAGGCGGCAUCCUGGACCGACAUUGACGCUGAGGAGCGAAAGCCAGGGGAGCAAACGGG